rnacentral:RNase_P_RNA from 1 species
CGAGUGCAUCGGGUGGUCGCUCCGGUCCACGACCGGAGAGGAAAGUCCGGACUCCAUAUGGCAGGGUGCUGGAUAACGCCCAGGAGGGGCGACCCUACGGCAAGUGCAACAGAGAGUAGACCGCCCUGGCUCGCGAGGGCCAGAGUAAGGGUGAAACGGUGGUGUAAGAGACCACCAGCUUCGAUGGCGACAUCGGAGGCUAGGUAAACCCCACCCGGAGCAAGACCUAAUAAGGGGACAAUGAGGCGGCCCGUCUCGUCCUCGGGUUGGUCGCACGAGGUGUCAGGUAACUGGCAUCCCAGAUAGAUGACCACCAUCCCUUCGGGGAGACAGAAUCCGGCUUAGAGAUGCACUCGGGCU